GACGAACGCUGGCGGCGUGCCUAAUACAUGCAAGUUGAGCGAUGAAGAUUGGUGCUUGCACCAAUUUGAAGAGCAGCGAACGGGUGAGUAACGCGUGGGGAAUCUGCCUUUGAGCGGGGGACAACAUUUGGAAACGAAUGCUAAUACCGCAUAACAACUUUAAACAUAAGUUUUAAGUUUGAAAGAUGCAAUUGCAUCACUCAAAGAUGAUCCCGCGUUGUAUUAGCUAGUUGGUGAGGUAAAGGCUCACCAAGGCGAUGAUACAUAGCCGACCUGAGAGGGUGAUCGGCCACAUUGGGACUGAGACACGGCCCAAACUCCUACGGGAGGCAGCAGUAGGGAAUCUUCGGCAAUGGACGAAAGUCUGACCGAGCAACGCCGCGUGAGUAAAGAAGGUUUUCGGAUCGUAAAACUCUGUUGGUAGAGAAGAACGUUGGUGAGAGUGGAAAGCUCAUCAAGUGACGGUAACUACCCAGAAAGGGACGGCUAACUACGUG
rnacentral:rRNA from 1 species